GCACAGCAACGGGUGGAGCGUGCGGUUUAAUUGGAUUCAACGCCGGAAAUCUCACCGGAGGCGACGGUUACAUGAAGGCCAGGCUGAUGACUUUGCCUGAUUUUCCGAGAGGUGGUGCAUGGCCGCCGUCAGUUCGUACCGUAAGGCGUUCUGUUAAGUCAGACAACGAACGAGACCCUCAUCUUUGGUUGCUACUGGUAAGUCCGCUUAUCAGGCACACUAAAGAAACCGCUGGCGAUAAGUCAGAGGAAGGCGAGGGCAACGGUAGGUCAGUAUGCCCUGAAUCCUCCGGGCUACACGCGCGCUACAAAGGCUAGGACAAUGGGCUUCAACACCGAAAGGUGACGGUAAUCCCGAAACCUAGUCGUAGUUCGGAUUGAGGAUUGAAACUCAUCCUCAUGAAGCUGGAAUCCGUAGUAAUCGCGGGUCAACAUCCCGCGGUGAAUAUGCCCCUGCUCCUUGCACACACCGCCCGUCAAACCAUGCGAGUUGGGUCUGAGUGAGGAUGUAGUUAUUGCCACAUUCAAACUUAGGCUUAGUAAGCGGGGUU
rnacentral:rRNA from 1 species